rnacentral:rRNA from 1 species
GCAGGGGAGAACGGAAUUCCUGGUGUAGCGGUGGAAUGCGCAGAUAUCAGGAGGAACACCGGUGGCGAAGGCGGUUCUCUGGGCAUGACCUGACGCUGAGGAGCGAAAGCAUGGGGAGCGAACAGGAUUAGAUACCCUGGUAGUCCAUGCCGUAAACGUUGGGCGCUAGGUGUGGGGACCUUCCAAGGUCUCCGUGCCGCAGCUAACGCAUUAAGCGCCCCGCCUGGGGAGUACGGCCGCAAGGCUAAAACUCAAAGGAAUUGACGGGGGCCCGCACAAGCGGCGGAGCAUGCUGAUUAAUUCGAUGCAACGCGAAGAACCUUACCUGGGUUUGACAUUUGGAGAAAACUCACAGAGAUGUGAGGUCCUUUUGGGCUCCAAACAGGUGGUGCAUGGCUGUCGUCAGCUCGUGUCGUGAGAUGUUGGGUUAAGUCCCGCAACGAGCGCAACCCUCGUUCUAUGUUGCCAGCACGUAAUGGUGGGGACUCAUAGGAGACUGCCGGGGUCAACUCGGAGGAAGGUGGGGAUGACGUCAAGUCUUCAUGCCCCUUAUGCCCAGGGCUUCAAGCAUGCUACAAUGGCCGGUACAAAGGGCUGCGAAACCGCAAGGUGGAGCGAAUCCCAAAAAGCCGGUCUCAGUUCGGAUUGGGGUCUGCAACUCGACCCCAUGAAGUCGGAGUCGCUAGUAAUCGCAGAUCAGCAACGCUGCGGUGAAUACGUUCCCGGGCCUUGUACACACCGCCCGUCACGUCAUGAAAGUCGGCAACACCCGAAGCCGGUGGCCCAACCCUUGUGGAGGGAGCCGUCGAAGGUGGGGCUGGCGAUUGGGACGAAGUCGUAACAAGGUACCAAUCCCGCGG